rnacentral:rRNA from 1 species
UAGGGAAUCUUCGGCAAUGGGGGCAACCCUGACCGAGCAACGCCGCGUGAGUGAAGAAGGUUUUCGGAUCGUAAAGCUCUGUUGUAAGUCAAGAACGAGUGUGAGAGUGGAAAGCUCACACUGUGACGGUAGCUUACCAGAAAGGGACGGCUAACUACGUGCCAGCAGCCGCGGUAAUACGUAGGUCCCGAGCGUUGUCCGGAUUUAUUGGGCGUAAAGCGAGCGCAGGCGGUUUGAUAAGUCUGAAGUUAAAGGCUGUGGCUCAACCAUAGUUCGCUUUGGAAACUGUCAAACUUGAGUGCAGAAGGGGAGAGUGGAAUUCCAUGUGUAGCGGUGAAAUGCGUAGAUAUAUGGAGGAACACCGGUGGCGAAAGCGGCUCUCUGGCUUGUAACUGACGCUGAGGCUCGAAAGCGUGGGGAGCAAACAGGAUUAGAUACCCUGGUAGUCCACGCCGUAAACGAUGAGUGCUAGGUGUUAGACCCUUUCCGGGGUUUAGUGCCGCAGCUAACGCAUUAAGCACUCCGCCUGGGGAGUACGACCGCAAGGUUG